GAACGCGAAGAACCUUACCAGGUCUUGACAUCCCUCUGACCGCUCUAGAGAUAGAGUUUUCCUUCGGGACAGAGGUGACAGGUGGUGCAUGGUUGUCGUCAGCUCGUGUCGUGAGAUGUUGGGUUAAGUCCCGCAACGAGCGCAACCCCUAUUGUUAGUUGCCAUCAUUGAGUUGGGCACUCUAGCGAGACUGCCGGUAAUAAACCGGAGGAAGGUGGGGAUGACGUCAAAUCAUCAUGCCCCUUAUGACCUGGGCUACACACGUGCUACAAUGGCUGGUACAACGAGUCGCGAGUCGGUGACGGCAAGCUAAUCUCUUAAAGCCAGUCUCAGUUCGGAUUGUAGGCUGCAACUCGCCUACAUGAAGUCGGAAUCGCUAGUAAUCGCGGAUCAGCACGCCGCAGUGAAUACGUUCCCGGGUCUUGUACACACC
rnacentral:rRNA from 1 species